GCCUCUAUGGUGUAGUUGGUUAUCACGCAGGUCUCAUAAUCCUGAGGUCUCCAGUUCGAUCCUGGAUGGAGGCA
rnacentral:tRNA from 6 species